UACGUAGGGUGCAAGCGUUGUCCGGAAUUAUUGGGCGUAAAGAGCUCGUAGGCGGUCUGUCGCGUCUGCUGUGAAAACUCGGGGCUUAACCCCGGGCCUGCAGUGGGUACGGGCAGACUAGAGUGCGGUAGGGGAGACUGGAAUUCCUGGUGUAGCGGUGAAAUGCGCAGAUAUCAGGAGGAACACCGGUGGCGAAGGCGGGUCUCUGGGCCGUAACUGAUGCUGAGGAGCGAAAGCAUGGGGAGCGAACAGG
rnacentral:rRNA from 1 species